rnacentral:rRNA from 1 species
UACGUAGGGAGCAAGCGUUGUCCGGAAUCAUUGGGCGUAAAGCGCGCGUAGGUGGCCACAUAAGUCCGUUGUGAAAGUCCAAGGCUCAACCUUUGAAAGCCGAUGGAUACUGUGUGGCUAGAGUACGGAAGAGGCGAGUGGAAUUCCUGGUGUAGCGGUGGAAUGCGCAGAUAUCAGGAGGAACACCGGUGGCGAAGGCGGGUCUCUGGGCCGAUACUGACGCUGAGGAGCGAAAGCGUGGGGAGCGAACAGG